rnacentral:rRNA from 1 species
GACGAACGCUGGCGGCGUGCCUAAUACAUGCCAGUCGAACGCACUCUCGUUUAGAUUGACGGAGUUUGCUCCUGAUUGAUAAACAUUUGAGUGAGUGGCGGACGGGUGAGUAACACGUGGGUAACCUGCCCUAAAGUGGGGGAUAACAUUUGGAAACAGAUGCUAAUACCGCAUAAAACCUAACACCGCAUGGUGUAGGGUUGAAAGAUGGUUUCGGCUAUCACUUUAGGAUGGACCCGCGGUGCAUUAGUUAGUUGGUGAGGUAAAGGCUCACCAAGACCGUGAUGCAUAGCCGACCUGAGAGGGUAAUCGGCCACACUGGGACUGAGACACGGCCCAGACUCCUACGGGAGGCAGCAGUAGGGAAUCUUCCACAAUGGACGAAAGUCUGAUGGAGCAACGCCGCGUGAGUGAAGAAGGUUUUCGGAUCGUAAAACUCUGUUGUUGGAGAAGAAUGUAUCUGAUAGUAACUGAUCAGGUAGUGACGGUAUCCAACCAGAAAGCCACGGCUAACUACGUG